CACCUGAAGUUCUCUCCUUACUUUAAUCUGUUCUUAUCCAUGUAUUUUACUGGUAUUCUUUUUGGUCUAAGAGGUUGGCAAGUUUUCAAGCUUUCCAGGUGAGUUCUGUUAAAUAAGAGAAAUUGAUGGAGUCAGGUACUCUUUCUCACAAUCUUGUUUUUUUGCAGAAAUAUCCAUUAAGUGGCUAGGUGGUGAACACAGGAAAAAAAAUUAGAACUGAUGGUGGCUGCUGUGCUGCAUGCUCUGAGCAUCUUUUCUGUUAGAGCAGUACCCAACAGUGCUCUGCUUUAGAAUACACAUGAUUUUACUAGCCUCCAUCCUGGUGCCUUGACUGCUGACUGACCUGAGUGAUGAAUCAGAUGCCUUAUUCUGGAACCCUCAGAAAUAUUACCUGCAUGCCAGACCCUGAGCAGGUUACUGUGGGCUAUAUUUCUAGAAGUAUCUGUGUAUUUCUUCAUACUGUAAAUCUGUAAACCUGCCUGUUGCUGCAGCUCAGGGUAUAUUUAACACCACAGCUCCAAAACAGUAUGUGAGGAUUAGUUCUUCUGCCUGUCUUUUCAAGGUGCAGGAAUAUUUUUGGAGUGCUGCCAGCCAAUAUAGAAAUAUAUUUACUUCUAUUCAGCCUCUGCAUGGGGGGGGCAAGUGGUGUGCUAAAAGGUCUCUGAUAGUUGCUUCAGUCAUUAACGUGAAGGGAUACCGGAUUGUUGUAAAAAGCCAGUGCAUGAUAAACUGAAAUCACUUGGUGAGGGGGGAAGCAGCCCUAAGACAGCUGCAGGGCAUGGACAGCACUCCUGCCUGUUUCUCCUUUUCCACAAAAAGAGUUUUUUCCAGUGGCAGAGUAUCAGAUGCAAAGGGUCAACUGGCAGUGGCAAGGAAUUUGGAUAUUUGGGAGAGGGGAUGUUUCAGGAGGACUGAAUUCUCCCUUCUUCUUACUGCUCUAUCAGUUGUGGCUGUUACAUUUUAUUGACACUGAAAUUUCUUUAAAGCAGCUGAUGAUUCCUUUUCUACCUCUUUCCCUGAAAGAUGAACAAGGAAUACCUAUUUUCUUUUGUGUUUGGCCUGCUGUCUCUCUGAGAGUAAAUGACACAGCUUAGCUCUGGUCUCUUUAAUUCAUCGGGAUGUAUUUUCGAAGAGCAAGUUUUUUUCAAUAAGAGCUGUCGUAGCUGCUAUUGCUCUGAUGCUUCCUGGAGUGCCUUUAGCUACCUCAUC